rnacentral:rRNA from 1 species
GACGAACGCUGGCGGCGUGCCUAACACAUGCAAGUCGAGCGAUGAAGCUCCUUCGGGAGUGGAUUAGCGGCGGACGGGUGAGUAACACGUGGGUAACCUGCCUCAAAGUGGGGGAUAGCCCUCCGAAAGGAGGAUUAAUACCGCAUAACAUUGUUUUCUCGCAUGAGAAGACAAUCAAAGGAGUAAUCCGCUUUGAGAUGGACCCGCGGUGCAUUAGCUAGUUGGUAAGGUAACGGCUUACCAAGGCGACGAUGCAUAGCCGACCUGAGAGGGUGAUCGGCCACAUUGGAACUGAGAUACGGUCCAGACUCCUACGGGAGGCAGCAGUGGGGAAUAUUGCGCAAUGGGGGAAACCCUGACGCAGCAACGCCGCGUGGGUGAUGAAGGUCUUCGGAUUGUAAAACCCUGUCUUCUGGGACGAUAAUGACGGUACCAGAGGAGGAAGCCACGGCUAACUACGUGCCAGCAGCCGCUGUAA